rnacentral:rRNA from 1 species
GAUGAACGCUGGCGGCGUGCCUAAUACAUGCAAGUCGAGCGAACAGACGAGGAGCUUGCUCCUCUGAUGUUAGCGGCGGACGGGUGAGUAACACGUGGAUAACCUACCUAUAAGACUGGGAUAACUUCGGGAAACCGGAGCUAAUACCGGAUAAUAUAUUGAACCGCAUGGUUCAAUAGUGAAAGACGGUUUUGCUGUCACUUAUAGAUGGAUCCGCGCCGCAUUAGCUAGUUGGUAAGGUAACGGCUUACCAAGGCAACGAUGCGUAGCCGACCUGAGAGGGUGAUCGGCCACACUGGAACUGAGACACGGCCCAGACUCCUACGGGAGGCAGCAGUAGGGAAUCUUCCGCAAUGGGCGAAAGCCUGACGGAGCAACGCCGCGUGAGUGAUGAAGGUCUUCGGAUCGUAAAACUCUGUUAUUAGGGAAGAACAAAUGUGUAAGUAACUAUGCACGUCUUGACGGUACCUAAUCAGAAAGCCACGGCUAACUACGUG